AAUUAACGCUGGCGGCGUGCCUCAGACAUGCAAGUCGAACGAUUAAAGCUCUCUUCGGAGAGUGUAUAGAGUGGCGCACGGGUGAGUAACACGUAAGUAAUCUACCCUCGAGUGGGGAAUAACGUCCGGAAACGGACGCUAAUACCGCAUAAUGCAGCGGCACCGCAAGGUGACAGUUGUUAAAGAUUUAUCGCUUGAGGAGGAGCUUGCGGCAGAUUAGCAGUUGGUAAGGUAAUGGCUUACCAAGGCUACGAUCUGUAACCGGUCUAAGAGGACGGUCGGUCACACUGACACUGAAUAACGGGUCAGACUCCUACGGGAGGCAGCAGUCGGGAAUUUUGGGCAAUGGGCGAAAGCCUGACCCAGCAACGCCGCGUGAAGGAUGAAGUAUUUCGGUAUGUAAACUUCGAAAGAAUGGGAAGAAUCAAUGACGGUACCAUUUAUAAGGUCCGGCUAACUACGUGCCAGCCGCCGCU
rnacentral:rRNA from 1 species